rnacentral:lncRNA from 1 species
GGUGCCCUGGUGUGAAAGCUUCAUCACAGAACAUACAGAGGCCUUGAGCACGGCGGUCCUGCAUUUCCUGGUAUGUAAACUUGCUAGGAGGUCUGUCAUUACCAGAGCGAGGGAUGAAGGUGGGUUUAGGGGUUUGUGUUUUGGGAUCAGGGGCGGGUAGUAAGGGUGUGGUUUCUUUGGGUUUGUAGGGGGUGAAGCUAUUUGGUUUGUGGUAAGGAUUGAAGGGAGCUCUUUGUUGUUUUAGUGGUGUUUGCGACAUAGCAGAUUCAUGAAGCUUCGCGAUCUUCGCAGCAGCAGCUAUUGUUGUGGGUUCGAACUGACGUACAUGAAGAGCAAGGUGCUGGUUCAUGUUCGUAAGGAAGAUGCUGAGUGCGUGAGCUUCAGGGAGCGCGAUUCUGGUUUUAGCGUUCUCAAACUUAUCCAGAUACGUCUCCACAGAAUCAGUGCCUUGCUUUAGAGCCACCAACUCGGAAAGGGGGUCAUCAAACAGGUC